GCUUAGAGAGGGGUCAAUGUCCUAUCAGCUAGUUGGUAAGGUAAUGGCUUACCAAGGCUAAGACGGGUAGCCGGCCUGAGAGGGUGGUCGGCCACACUGGGACUGAGACACUGCCCAGACUCCUACGGGAGGCUGCAGUCGAGAAUCUUUCGCAAUGCCCGAAAGGGUGACGAAGCGACGCCGCGUGUGGGAAGAAGGCCUUCGGGUUGUAAACCACUGUCGGGAGUUAAGAAAUGUAAGGGUGUUAAUAGCAUCCUUGCUUGACUAAGGCUCCGGAGGAAGCCACGGCUAACUCUGUGCCAGCAGCCGCGGUAAUACAGAGGCGGCAAGCGUUGUUCGGAAUUAUUGGGCGUAA
rnacentral:rRNA from 1 species